rnacentral:misc_RNA from 1 species
AGUCAUUCCAGCAGCAACAUUUCUUCCCACUUUGCCAAGUACAACAACACAACCACCAGUCAUGUACUCACAGCAAUGGUCCCCAGUUCCUUCAACCACUGCCUGAGCAAGUGAAUUUCUGACAGCAAACCUCUCCCCAGCUUUUCCUCUAACAAAAACUUGACCGCCAGUCGCACCAUACAGACAUGUAUUCCCCACUAUGGCUGCAUCCUCGGGAACAAAUCCGGUAUUUUCGGUUGGAGUUACAACUAAUUCACCUCCCGCCAUACCCUUUCCGACAUAAUCAUUGG